AUUUCUGCCCAGUGCUCUGAAUGUCAACGUUGAAGAAAUCAAGAGCAAGCGCGGGUAAAACGGCGGCGCUUAACAGACUCUCUAUAGAGGUACAAAUGCCUCGGUCAUCUAAUUGUGAUAGCACGCAGAAUGGAU
rnacentral:rRNA from 1 species